CCGCUUGCCACCGCCCUUCAAGCGGUUCUGGGCCAUGGGACGGAUAGACCGUUGCUCCAGACCCGCAGCCAGGCUCCCAAGAGCACCUGCUACACACCGGGUUCUCAAAUCCAGACAGAAAACCCCUCCCCUCCUGGAGCAGGCAUGAAUGACCCAGAUGGAGAACUAGAGGUCCAGAGAGGCUGACUGUGUGCAUAGAGGUGACCAAUCCUGGGGACUGAGCUGACCUGUGACCCCAGUGAGCAAGCAGA